CCUACGGGCGGCUGCAGUGAGGAAUAUUGGUCAAUGGGCGCAAGCCUGAACCAGCCAUCCCGCGUGCAGGAAGAAGGCGCUAUGCGUUGUAAACUUCUUUUCCGGAGGAAUAAAAUCUCGUACGUGUACGGGACUGAAGGUACUCCGGGAAUAAGCAUCGGCUAACUCCGUGCCAGCAGCCGCGGUAAUACGGAGGAUGCAAGCGUUAUCCGGAUUUAUUGGGUUUAAAGGGUGCGUAGGCGGACUAAUAAGUCAGUGGUGAAAACCUUCAGCUUAACUGGAGACUUGCCAUUGAUACUGUCAGUCUUGAGUAUGGUUAAGGUAGGCGGAAUGUGUAAUGUAGCGGUGAAAUGCUUAGAUAUUACACAGAACACCGAUUGCGAAGGCAGCUUACUGAGCCAUAACUGACGCUGAUGCACGAAAGCGUGGGGAGCGAACAGGAUUAGAUACCCCUGUAGUC
rnacentral:rRNA from 1 species